rnacentral:rRNA from 1 species
GACGAACGCUGGCGGCGUGCUUAACACAUGCAAGUCGAACGGAAAGGCCCUGCUUUUGUGGGGUGCUCGAGUGGCGAACGGGUGAGUAACACGUGAGUAACCUGCCCUUGACUUUGGGAUAACUUCAGGAAACUGGGGCUAAUACCGGAUAGGAGCUCCUGCUGCAUGGUGGGGGUUGGAAAGUUUCGGCGGUUGGGGAUGGACUCGCGGCUUAUCAGCUUGCUGGUGGGGUAGUGGCUUACCAAGGCUUUGACGGGUAGCCGGCCUGAGAGGGUGACCGGCCACAUUGGGACUGAGAUACGGCCCAGACUCCUACGGGAGGCAGCAGUGGGGAAUAUUGCACAAUGGGCGGAAGCCUGAUGCAGCAACGCCGCGUGCGGGAUGACGGCCUUCGGGUUGUAAACCGCUUUCGCCUGGGACGAAGCGUGAGUGACGGUAAUGGGUAAAGAAGCACCGGCUAACUACGUG